GCUCGAGUGGUGGAAUUGGUAGACACGCUGGACUUAAAAUCCAGUGGGCUGUAAGGCCCGUAUGGGUUCAAGUCCCAUCUCGAGUACAA
rnacentral:tRNA from 1 species